rnacentral:rRNA from 1 species
UACGGGGGGAGCAAGCGUUGUUCGGAUUUACUGGGCGUAAAGGGCGGGUAGGCGGCCACCGCAGGUCAGUUGUGAAAUCUCUGGGCUUAACCCAGAAAGGUCAACUGAUACUGCGGGGCUAGAGUGCAGAAGGGGCAACUGGAAUUCUCGGUGUAGCGGUGAAAUGCGUAGAUAUCAGGAAGAACACCCGUGGCUAAGGCGGUUCUCUAGUACGGUACUGACGCUGAGACGCGAAAGCGUGGGGAGCGAACAGG